rnacentral:misc_RNA from 1 species
UCAAAACAUUAUAUGUAAACAUUGAAGUUGGGGGAAGUCAUCAACGUUUUAAGCAGAGGAUACUAAGUGUAUAUUUAAAUGUCUGCACAGUUAACUUCACGCCGUAAUAAUCCCUGUGCAAUAAACCUGUUUGCAAAAACUUAAUCGAUAUAAAUAGAACUGAUAGUUCGAUAUUUAUAGAAUGCGAUAAAUGUAGUAUAAAAAGGUUGAAAUAAAGGAUUAAAUAUCUUUAGGUAAUUAACAAUUUCGCGGAACACUCUUUUUUUUCAAAAGGCAUAGAAUAGUAUUAAUCAUCAGCAAUAAGUGACUUAUUAAACAGAGGAGACUGGACUUUAAACUACGCACAUGUGGAUGCCGGACCACUGUAUAUAGAAAACAUAGAGAUGUAUGAACAACAUGUUGAUGACAAAAGGAAAUUGCUGUCAAGAUCUUUCUUCAAGAAGUUGAUGCUCGUGGGCGUUUUGCUGGCCGUUCCUUUAUCUUUCAUCUUUGCGGAACUGUUGACAAAACGUAUUGAGACAACUAAAGCAGUGAAAGAAAGCCGAAUGGGUCAACGGAAGGUACCAAAUACCACUUCCAAUGUUCAAGAGACACGCAAGAGAAACUCUAAAUCGAAAUAUAAAGGAGCUAGAUACGAAACAGAAGACAUGUCCAUGAAACAUCUCGAAACAAAAAACGUCAACAAAUCACAUAUUCGAUGUGAUGGCGAUAGGAGUUCGAAAGAAACCACAUAUUAAGGGACGGACUACGGAAGUGACUAUAUCAAAACUAAAUAUAACACAGCAAUGGCCCUAUAUGCAACUGCACUGGCUGUGUCAGAUACAGUUGCAUUAUAUAUUGGACUAUUACCUGCGUGGUUGCUUUUCGUAUUUGGAAUUAGCAUCAGAACAAAUUCUGCUUUCUGUAAAGUAAACAGUUGGAUGAUAUUUACAUCUCUUCAGCUGUCUACAUGGAUAAUUACAGCUGUUACAAUUGAAAGAGUGGUUGUUGUUUGGUUUCCGUUUCGUUACAGAAGGAUCGAAGGAACCAGACAUGCAGCAAUUAUUCUUACAUUUCUGUGUGUUUUUCUAAUGACAUUGAAUUCUCAUUUCCUAUACGGAAUGGAACAUAUAGAUGUCGCUCAACAAUACCGGUUUGAUCGUUCUUGCACCGGGUUACAUGAGGGAUACGUGUAUUUUGUUCAACAUAUAUGGCCUUUUAUUGAUGCUGUGGUUUACUUUUUCGUUCCCAGCAUCACAAUUAUUUUCGGGAAUAUUCUCAUCGUCUUCAAGGUGACAAAAAGUGGUAAUAUGAGCAUUGGGCAACAAACAUAUUCGACAGGAGCGAACAACUCAUCCCGAAGGAAGUCUUUGCUUCCUGUAGUAUUUACUCUAAACACAGCAUUUUUAUUGACCACAACGCCUAUUUGUGUUUUUCAACUGGUUUAUAAUUUCAAUGAUUUAGUGAUAAGUAGCGGGCAGAUCGAGAAACCGGAUCAUAUAUUAAACUCUUUAUGGACCAUUCUUUUUAUGCUAAUGAACAUUAAUCAUUCCAUAAAUUGUUUUGUUUACGUUGCUGCUGGUUCAACAUUCAGACGUGAAGUUUGUGCAUUAUUUUGUGGCAAAAAUUGAAACUGUUGCAGGGUUUGAAACAGAAAAAAAUGCUUAAAUAUUUGGCGUAUAAAAAGCAGCUAUGCGUCGAAUAUAAACAAACAGAAAUGAAUUGUUAAUAACAUUGAUAUUACUUUGGCACUGAACUUGAACAUGUCAAUAGAAAAUUUACUUUAUUUUAUUAAAGUCCUUAUAUCACUUUUGCACUGCAUUUACAUUUCGCUGACAUAUUUCUAACAAAUACGUGUAUUAUAAUACGUUUCAAAUAUACUUUUGUGUACAGUAUUGCUUGAGACUAUAUUCCUUAGUCAGAGUUUGUUCAUAAAAUGUUGUCUAUAUAAUAGUGUACUACCACGAUGCCUACUUCUAGUUCUUAAAUUAUGUUUGUCGCUGCUAUUCAAAGGACAUAGACAUA